GGGUCAGUAGGUUGGUCGUGCCACCGGUACGUACUGGUCUCACUGAUUCCUCCUUCCUGAAGAACCGUAAUGCCACUAAUUUGGUGUUGCGGGGAAACAGGACUGUUACUUUGAAAAAAUUAGAGUGUUUAAAGCAAGCUAACGCUUGAACACAUUAGCAUGGAAUAAUGAAAUAGGACGAUCGAUCCUAUUUUGUUGGUUUCUAGGAUUGACGUA
rnacentral:rRNA from 1 species